UACGUAGGGUGCAAGCGUUGUCCGGAAUUAUUGGGCGUAAAGAGCUCGUAGGCGGUUUGUCGCGUCGAAUGUGAAAACCCGGGGCUCAACUCCGGGCCUGCAUUCGAUACGGGCAGACUAGAGUUCGGUAGGGGAGACUGGAAUUCCUGGUGUAGCGGUGAAAUGCGCAGAUAUCGGGAGGAACACCGGUGGCGAAGGCGGUUCUCUGGGCCUUACCUGACGCUGAGGAGCGAAAGCGUGGGGAGCGAACAGG
rnacentral:rRNA from 1 species